GCUGGGUGUGGUGGCUCACGCCUGUAAUCCCAGCAUUUUGGGAGGCCGAGGUGGGUGGAUCAUCUGAGGUCAGGAGUUCAAGACCAGCCUGGCCAACAUGAUGAGACCCCAUCUCUA
rnacentral:SRP_RNA from 1 species